UUGCCCCUGCGAUGUGCGUGAUUAACAUUUGUUUUUGAGCCAACAUUUUGAACCUGGGGCCUAUUCUUGUUUGCGGUGAGCAGGUCAGCCUUUUUUCCGCUGGUCGGAAGGCAGAAAGCCUAAUGCAACCAAUACCGGGCGCCCACUUUAUAAAAAGGUUCAAAAAGGUGAUUAACACGGCAUAGGCGGGGGUUUU
rnacentral:other from 1 species